rnacentral:rRNA from 1 species
UUUACGGAGAGUUUGAUCCUGGCUCAGGAUGAACGCUGGCGGCGUGCUUAACACAUGCAAGUCGAACGGUGAAGCCAAGCUUGCUUGGUGGAUCAGUGGCGAACGGGUGAGUAACACGUGAGCAACCUGCCCUGGACUCUGGGAUAAGCGCUGGAAACGGCGUCUAAUACUGGAUAUGAGCUUUCACCGCAUGGUGGGGGUUGGAAAGAUUUUUCGGUCUGGGAUGGGCUCGCGGCCUAUCAGCUUGUUGGUGAGGUAAUGGCUCACCAAGGCGUCGACGGGUAGCCGGCCUGAGAGGGUGACCGGCCACACUGGGACUGAGACACGGCCCAGACUCCUACGGGAGGCAGCAGUGGGGAAUAUUGCACAAUGGGCGGAAGCCUGAUGCAGCAACGCCGCGUGAGGGAUGACGGCCUUCGGGUUGUAAACCUCUUUUAGCAGGGAAGAAGCGAGAGUGACGGUACCUGCAGAAAAAGCGCCGGCUAACUACGUGCCAGCAGCCGCGGUAAUACGUAGGGCGCAAGCGUUAUCCGGAAUUAUUGGGCGUAAAGAGCUCGUAGGCGGUUUGUCGCGUCUGCUGUGAAAUCCCGAGGCUCAACCUCGGGCCUGCAGUGGGUACGGGCAGACUAGAGUGCGGUAGGGGAGAUUGGAAUUCCUGGUGUAGCGGUGGAAUGCGCAGAUAUCAGGAGGAACACCGAUGGCGAAGGCAGAUCUCUGGGCCGUAACUGACGCUGAGGAGCGAAAGGGUGGGGAGCAAACAGGCUUAGAUACCCUGGUAGUCCACCCCGUAAACGUUGGGAACUAGUUGUGGGGACCAUUCCACGGUUUCCGUGACGCAGCUAACGCAUUAAGUUCCCCGCCUGGGGAGUACGGCCGCAAGGCUAAAACUCAAAGGAAUUGACGGGGACCCGCACAAGCGGCGGAGCAUGCGGAUUAAUUCGAUGCAACGCGAAGAACCUUACCAAGGCUUGACAUACACCAGAACACCGUAGAAAUACGGGACUCUUUGGACACUGGUGAACAGGUGGUGCAUGGUUGUCGUCAGCUCGUGUCGUGAGAUGUUGGGUUAAGUCCCGCAACGAGCGCAACCCUCGUUCUAUGUUGCCAGCACGUAAUGGUGGGAACUCAUGGGAUACUGCCGGGGUCAACUCGGAGGAAGGUGGGGAUGACGUCAAAUCAUCAUGCCCCUUAUGUCUUGGGCUUCACGCAUGCUACAAUGGCCGGUACAAAGGGCUGCAAUACCGUGAGGUGGAGCGAAUCCCAAAAAGCCGGUCCCAGUUCGGAUUGAGGUCUGCAACUCGACCUCAUGAAGUCGGAGUCGCUAGUAAUCGCAGAUCAGCAACGCUGCGGUGAAUACGUUCCCGGGUCUUGUACACACCGCCCGUCAAGUCAUGAAAGUCGGUAACACCUGAAGCCGGUGGCCUAACCCUUGUGGAGGGAGCCGUCGAAGGUGGGAUCGGUAAUUAGGACUAAGUCGUAACAAGGUAGCCGUACCGGAAGGUGCGGCUGGAUCACCUCCUUU